rnacentral:rRNA from 1 species
CCUACGGGGAGCAGCAGUGAGGAAUAUUGGUCAAUGGGCGCGAGCCUGAACCAGACAAGUAGCGUGAAGGAUGACUGCCCUACGGGUUGUAAACUUCUUUUAUAAAGGAAUAAAGUGAGGCACGUGUGCCUUUUUGUAUGUACUUUAUGAAUAAGGAUCGGCUAACUCCGUGCCAGCAGCCGCGGUAAUACGGAGGAUCCGAGCGUUAUCCGGAGUUAUUGGGUUGAAAGGGAGCGUAGAUGGGUUGUUAAGUCAGUGGUGAAAGUUUGCGGCUCAACCGUAAAAUUGCAAUUUAUACUGGCAGUCUUUAGUACAGUUGAGGUCGGCGGUCUUCGUGGUGUAGCGGUGCCAUUCUUCGCUCUCAC